rnacentral:ncRNA from 1 species
CUUGCUUUCAAUUUUUAGUAUUAAUUAAUAAACGUAUGUAAACAUUUGUAAGAACAAAAUAAACCUUCAAAAGGUUUAUUUUUUUAAUUUGAAUAUUAAUAUUCUUAAAUAAAAAAUAAAAGCUCAGUGUUAAAAACUAACAUAUAAAUUAAAGUUAGAAUUGGUUAUAUUAAUUUAUAACUGGCUAAAUUUUUGUGCCAGCAGCCGCGGUUAGACUAAAAGUUAAACUAAAAAUUUUUCGGUUAAAAAUAGUUAAAAGUUUAAAUCUUUAUAGUAAAUAAAAUUGUCUUAAUAAAAGGUGAAAUUGAUUUUUUUUGAGCUGUUUUAUAUAAAAAGAUUUAUUAUUUGAGGCUAUUAAAAUAAAAUAAUAAACCAGGAUUAGAUACCCUGUUAUUUUUUAUUUUAAAUUUUAAUACCUAAGUAGUAACUAGUUAUUAUCUUGAAACUUAAAGAAUUUGGCGGUAAAUUAGUCUUUUUAGAGGAACUUGUUCUGUAAGCGAUAAUCCCCGUAAUAUCUUACCUUUUUUUGUAAAAACAGUUUGUAUACCGUCAUUAUUAGAUAAUAUUUAAAAGUUUAAUUAUUAUAAUAAUAUUUAAUGUUAAUAUAUUAGAUCAAGGUGCAGCCUAUAAAAAGGAAGUAAUGAGUUACAUUAGAAUUGAUUUAAACGGAUAAAAAAUAGAAUGUUUUUUUGAAGGUGGAUUUAAUAGUAAUAAUGGAAUAAUAAGACAUUAUGAACUUAGCUCUAGUUUAUGUACACAUCGCCCGUCGCUCUCGCUUAUAAAGUGAGAUAAGUCGUAACAUAGUAGAUGUACUGGAAAGUGUAUCUAGAAGUAAUAU